rnacentral:rRNA from 1 species
ACGCUCGACACCUACGGGAGGUAGCAGUGGGGAAUAUUGCACAAUGGGGGAAACCCUGAUGCAGCAACGCCGCGUGAGUGAAGAAGUAUUUCGGUAUGUAAAGCUCUAUCAGCAGGGAAGAUAAUGACGGUACCUGACUAAGAAGCUCCGGCUAAAUACGUGCCAACAGCCGCGGUAAUCUGAGCGGGCUGGCAAGGC